GCCCUCGUGGUGUAGUAGUCAGCACACUCGGCGCGCAUUCAAGAAGUCCAUGGUUCGAGUCUCGGCGAGGGCA
rfam:Stegodyphus mimosarum contig31576, whole genome shotgun sequence.